AAAGUAUCAUUCCUUCAGAGCUCCAAGGCAACCAUGCUGUACCUGCCCACUGGAAAGUGGGCGGGGAUUAGGCCAGAAUCACUAAAAAGUUGUCUUUUCCUCUCUUGGGCUCUCUCCGGGCCCCUUUUCUUUUCUCCUCCUCUCCCUGCUUAUUUCCCCUCCUUCCAUUCUUACUCUUUUUCAGUGGGCUUGUCUGCCUCUCUCAAAUGAAGAUCUCCAUGUACCCUCAGGGGGAAAUCCAUUACAAAGCCACCAACCUCAGGCCUGAGGGUGCCAGAGGAAUCUAUAUCAAUCACAUCUAUUGAGUGCUUACUGUGAGCAUCGUACUAAGCGCUUGGAAUGGAAAAUAUAAUAGAGUUGGUAGACAAGUUCCCUGCCCAAACUGUCAUUUCCUGUGGUCCACCCCUCCUACCAAAUCACAUCCCCAGGCCUUCACUUCCUGCCCCAUGACAUCCUAUGUCUCCCAUCCUGUCCAAUCACAUUCAGCUGCUCCCUUUCUGGUGCCCCCUCAGAGCCCUGCCCCAAACCCAGGGGGAUUCCUAACCAACUGCCAAACCAUGACACGAGUUCCGGACUCCCCAACCAUACCCCCUGACUAGUUCUGAUGCCCUCUGCAACAGUUGGACAACUCCCUGAGCUGGUACAGGGCCAUGCAGCCCCGAGGGUUGGGGAGGAUAGGGAGGAAAAAGAAGAAUCGGGCUACUAGUGCCAAUCUACCUGGGCUCGAGUACAAGAUCUCUCAACUGACCAAUCCAGGCCCGAAGCCCAAUUCAUCUCGGACAGGCGGCUGCAGUCAAAAUGAAAGAAAGGGUUCUGAUGAAGCAGAGAGGAAGAGUUUCUCAGAAACCCAGCCAGGAGCCCGAGGCCACGCUGCUUCUGCGCCACUCAGGGAAUUAAAACAUGGAACUGGCCAGAACACACCACAGGAGGCGGGGGGAAGAGGAGAAGCCAAUGCAGCAAGGAAGCUGGGCCUUAGGCCUGGGCCAGCCGGGGAGACUAAGCCAUGGGAAGGAGGCAGGAAGAGAGGAGAUCUGAAAGGAAAGUGGCACAGAACAAUUCGACUUCAAGGUCGGCAUCAAAACAUUUAUUCGGGCCUUACCUGGUGGCAGCAAUGUGAAGGCCAGGAAUGGGUGAUUUUGGGCAGACGGGCCACUCGGGGUGUCUUGGCAGGCUGGGGAGAGCCACACACAUUCGGGUAUUUCAUGUCAUAAUACCUAUCAAUAAAAAUGCUCUGAUAUUAGCUAAGAACAGUCCUUGCUCUUUCCCCAAAAAUUUUCACACCUAGAAAUCUGCUUAAAACUUGAAAUAGGCUCUCUAACAUGAAGUGAUUCU
rnacentral:lncRNA from 1 species